AUUGUACUCUUUGUUGUAGUUUCCUUCGAAAUAAGUAGGAGGCAUUACUUUGAGAACAACCUGCACACACGACAUAUGGUAAUAGAAAAGUCCAAGUAUCUUCUUCAUUUGAAUAUAGUAUUCUACAUUCUACUAAAACUUUUUAUUUUAUGGGAAAAAAAACCUUUUCUACAUAGGAAGACUGGGAUUCUCUGAAUUUCAAUAUAUAUUCUGCUGAACUCCUAACUUGAUCUGUUUUGCCCUGGUAAAUCCCAUUAGGCCAGAUGAUUCUGGGUUGGAAUAUCCUCUGUCUGAAGUUCUGUAUUUUUCCAGUGGAAUUGACUCCAUACGUAAGUGAUUGCAUGCUAAAUAGAAAUACAAGGAUUCUAAUAUUACAUAAGCCUAUCUCCUGUUAUUAUUUGUUCAUAAUAAUAAUAUUUGUUCAUAAUAUGUAGCAUUAGAAAUGUCACUGUGCUGGUGGCUCUUAGCCCUGAUGCAAAGAGUGCAUCCGAAUUAGUAAUUUAGGGCACAUGACAGGUUCGUUCUUUCAUGAAUUUGCCUUGCACUCAUACUUGAAGGCAGUAUGCACUCAGAGCUGUUUCCCACCCAUGAAACUGAAGCUGAGGACAUAUGCGGGUUUACCUUUCUGGGUGACCCACUUGCAGUGCAGAUGGACAGUCCUGCAGAAGUUUGCUCAUUACGUGUGUACUGCAUGCCUAGGACUGGAAAGUGGCUUGAACUUCAUUAUGAGGAAUGACAUCAUGUGGUUAUGAGGUCCUUGAGCUAUAACAGGGCACAGCAAAUUCAACCCUGAGCCUUACUGCUUUGUUGCACAACUGGUAAUGCAGGCAGAUGUAAAGUGUUUGCAUUUAAUGUGUGGGUAGUAAGGGAGAGCGGAAGCAAUGCAACUAUCCAGUGCAGGAGGAUAAGCAGUCAGCCUGGUGUGUUAGCCACGUUAGCUCUAGGUGUUUCAAAGAGGUUAAUUCUGAGCAGGGUGAUGAAGAGAGAGCCUACGUAUGUCUCAGUGUUACUAAAUCUUAUGAUCUUGUCAGCAGCUUUAGGAUGUACAGUAAUGUUCUUUGAGUUCUAGCUGUAGAAAUCUUGUUAUUAUACGAGACUAUCAAAUUUUUUGAUGUAUUUUUUUAAUAAAGGAAGUUUUUUGCCAGGAGAGAAGUUUGAAACUGUGCAUCUGAAAAACAAAACACAAAACCCAACAGCAAAAAGGUGCUUUGUAAGAACCUGCAUGCUUUUCCUUCCCUUUUUGCUCUUCAAGGGCAGCUCCUCCUAACGAUACAGAAAACACAGGAGAAAGCACAGAGUUGGCUGAGAGUCCUGGCAAGCAGAAAGACACUCGCUUCUGUAACUGUCAGCUUUGUAACUCCAGUUAAAACUUUGUAUUCUGCUUUCAGAUCGUGUGGAUGGACCAGCCCUCUCUAUUUUUAUUUUGCUCCUGUUAAAUAAGCAGUAUUAAUAAAGUUGCCCCCCUUUUGUAUAGGCUAUGCAUUUCAUCUUUGAAGUUAGCAGUCACUUUUUUUGUCGAGCGCUUUCAUUGUUUAGACGUGCUUCCCAGUUCCAGCUCCAUUUUAUCACCGCAAAUUUCCUCUCUUGCAUAUUCUUCCCUCUAGGUCAUUGAUAGUGAAAGCAAGCAAUAUGUUUCCUGGUGUUCAACCAUGUGGCACUUCACUAGUCACAUAAUACACUAGAUAAGCAGAUGACAGUCUGUGCUGCUCUGAAUAGCAUAUGUGCAUGCCAGCUGAAAGCCAGGAGCCGGAGGACAUACAGGCAGCCAACAGAGGGAGUCAAUGGCAGCAAAGCACUGGCCAUGCAACCUGCACUUUGGAGAAGAAUGGACAGUUUUGUGCUUAUGAUCAAAGAGCAGAAGAUGUCAGCCUGUUUUCCCAUUAGGCCCCAGGCAUCUCUGACAGCCCACGUGUUCUUUGCUUCAGGCUGCAGGUUGCUACCUGCGAGAAGCUCCGUUCUAGCUCUGUACCCACCAGAAUGUCAGGUGUUCUGAGCAAAGUUUGACACUUCUUACAAUUGUUGUGAGGACCUGGAAGAUACAAUAGGUAGCGUUUGUUUUUUGUCUGCUAAGUAUAAGCAUAACUACCAGGUAAUGUUUAGAAGCUAUAAUUGCUGUCUGAUUAACAUGGCGAAAUUCAGCCUAUGUUGUAAAGAACGCCUGCUUGCUCUUUCUUUUAGAACAUAAUAGUGAUGUUUAAAGUCUCUUGCGCACAUCCGUAACUUGUUACCAAACAGUUUGAGUGUUACAGACCCCACCAACCAAAGUGGUGUUCCCUACAGACUGAGGAAGCCCUAGAUCUCCACGCAGGCUGCACAGUAUUCCUCAGAGCAGCUGUCCGCAGCAAGAAAUUCAUCAUUCACUCUCUGAUCAGCACAUACACUCUUUCCAUUCUCCAUUUAAUGGUGAAAAAUGUGAUGUGUACUCAAGAACCGCUAUAAAGCGGCCAGUUUGGGGUAAGCAGCUGACAUUUCAUUUCCAUGGCAAUCUUUAUUCCUGUCUGUCUGAACACUCAUCCUUGUGGAAGCUAGCAGGUGUUACUGUUUCUCCUGGCUGAUGUGCUCCUGGUGCAUCAGCUUUGUGCUCGCGGGGAGGCUGCCUUUGCUGGUGGACUGGCAGGAGAGUGGUAGCUGUUGAAAAAAGGUGUUCUAAUAGUAAUGCUAUCCUAGAUCGUGGCACGUAAUUGAUGAGACUUCAGUGUGAUGCCCCAGAAAAAUAUCUUGCAGCGCAACCCUUCUCAACAGCUCUUCAACUUAGAACAGGAACACAGAUGCAAAAAUAUUCCUUACUGUAGAUUAGCUGUCCCACACAGCAGGGCUGUCUGCUACCAGCAGGAGAAUGGCUGGGCUCUCUCCCUGUUUGGAGAGAGAUUUUGAUGGAAUGGAUCAGUACUGGGCCUGCUGGUUGUCUGGAAGUGUGAAGGAAGAGAACAAUUCCUACUAAACCUAUGGAAGCAGUAAUUACAAUUCUGCUGUAAGUAUUCAGGAACAUAUUUUACGUCUGUAGUUCGGUUCACUGCAUCUCUUACUGGCACACGAAAGCGAAAGUGUUGCCAGAGUAAAACAAGACAUGGGUCUUAGGUUCAUCAAAGCAAUUUUCCAAAAUAGCAAUUGAAUCUGAAGCUGGACAAAUUAGCAUAGCCAUUUCAUCUGGAGUGAAGAAAGAGUGUAUAAUUCUUCCCAUCACAGCUAGAGAGUUUGAAUUUCACUUCCUGAAGGGGAAAAGGGAAGAGUGCUCUAAGAGAAUACUGAAUCUGUACUGAUUUGAGAUGGAAGGACUAUUGUUCCAUACGUUAUCUGUGGCCUGAUAGACUGCUGUUUUCUUUUCUCAGUUAGUGGGACAGCAACCCCUAAGUGACCCUCUUAAUCUGUGUUAUUGUAACUCACUGGCAGCUGUUACAGGAUGAAAAUUAAAAAAUUAAGAUACAUGACCUAAGAGGGACCAAAGAAGGUUUUCAUCAUCUUUCCCCAGCCAUUUGAUCUCAUGCUCAGAAGUUAUGACAGGGAGUAAGAAGGAUGGCAAAACCAGGUUUGCAUGUUCUGCCUGGUGAGUGAUAGUAGAUCUGCUUUGCAGAAAGAAUCUCACAGAUUUGGUAUUGAGCAGCAAAUAACACUGUAAUCCUCCAGGCUGCACAGAUGAAAUGGACCUCUCAUGUUGGCUGUGCAGAUUUUGAAGACAAAAUGCUCACCUGGAAUUCCUUGGGCUUAGGAGACUCAGGGCUAUGGAGAGUGCCCACUGGUUUCCAUUUAGCGAGUGGUGUAAGUUCUGGACUUUUUGAAAGUUACUGCUGCAGGAGAUCAGCGGUCUUUUGCAUUCUCCUAGGCACCUCCUAUGAGGUGCUAAAAUGAGAUCAGCACUCCCAGCAAAUGCACAGAUACUCACGAUCCAGUCCUUCUCUCUUCUGUGUCCUGAUGAGCAGUGAGUUCAUAACGUUGACAGCUGACAUAUUGUCACUUGACAUCUGCUGAUGUGUGCGAGGUAGAGCAAGCUCCUUAGAAGUCUGCCCUGCAUUCUGCAAAUACAUGCAGGCAUCGCUGCGUGCAGUUACUGUGAUGUGUAUUUUCAGGGUUGUCCCAGUGAUCAUAACUAAUGCAGACAUGAGGCAUAUUGAGAUGACUGCUUGUGAACACAGGCGUGUUCAUUUAAGGACUUACGGAAGGCACUGGUUUGCUUCCCAAGAGAUACUCUGAUGGUGAUUUCCUGCCUACAUUGUCCAUGCCUUUUGUGUGGAAAAGUGAUUAACUGGGCAGCUAUUAAAUAAGAGUUUUUUCCUUCGUGCCCAAGAAAUCCUCACAUAGUGUUGCAAAUUGCAAGUCUUGCCUUGUCUUGUUUCCCCAUUGCUUUCUGGAAAAGGUAGCACUGUGCAGGCUUCAAAUCUUCGAGUUCUGCUCUGCCUGCAAGCAGAUGGGCUGUGAAAACAGUGUCCUGACAGUAGAGCUUCUACCAGUGGACAAAAGUGCUGCUUCUGCAGGAUGCCUGUGUGCCACUACUUAGAGACUGUUGGCUGUGAGGUUUCUCUGACACUCUUGUGAACCCUCCCAGGGACAGAUGGGUUUGCUCUUGAAUGGCUCCAUUCUUUUCUCUUUAUGAAUAGAAGGGGCACUUGUUAAUUUGCCCUGACUGCAGUCAUGCACCACAGGCGUCUGCUUUGUCACCCCUCCUGCUGACCAUGGCCUCAAGGCCAGGAGGGAUCAUACUCUGAGAAAGUGUGUACUUACUGUAUCUGUCCAGAAUGUCUUUGGGGAGGAGGGGGAUCACAGCUGAGCACAGACCGUGCACUUCCACUUGUCUUGCUCCAACCUGGGAAUUAAACGGGAGGCUUCUAGGAAACUUGCUUGGUAGAAGCAACUGAUGGAAAUUAGAGAAAUAGAAUUCUUGUUCUCUCUGCAUUGAGGAACCUUAUCAAAAGCCAUGUAAGCAACAAUGGGUUUUGCAAGUCUUUGAGUUUGCACAUGAGCUAUUAUAAAAUUAUUCAUGGGUUUUUAAGUUGGAUUACUGAAAUGCAGUGUACCUAAGGCAGUGUCUGAAGAAUGUCUGGAAACUUUCCAUAAGAGCACAAACCUACUUCUUGCUGUCUUGAUCUCUUGAGGCCAUGCUUUGCUUGUAGACUGCUCUCAAAGUUCUCAGAUCAUGUACCAACUGCCCAUGCAUUUCCAGACAUAAGUAAAAGCAAAGUUUUGAGCCAUCAACCUCAGCAAUACAUAAUUCUUCUUCCAUUCUUCAUUACAUCUUCACAGAUGCAAUCAGCUGCUAUUCUUCAGUGCACAACAUAAUUAGUUAAAGAAGAAUGUUCUUCUGCAGCCCUCAGACCCAGGGUAUGUUCCUUCCUCCUCCUUGCUGACUUCUACAUGAUGUAGCAGAGCUGUUUUCCAGGACAAGCGUCUACAAGCAGAUAGGUCUGAAGGAUUUUAGGCAAAUGGGGUUAUGUUUUUUUCAGCUUUAGAGCUUGUGAAUACCUUAUUAGCAAACACUGGGGUCUUUGGUGAUUUGUCCAGAGGUUGGAGCAGGUGCAUAGCUCACACCCAGAUAAAUAAGGCGUAAAUUGUCACUUGCACCACGGAGAGAUCAAUCUCUGUAAUUUAGAUGACUGAAUUUGUAUAGUUGGUGUGCAAGGAAAAUACCUUUUUUAGAACUAUAAGCUGAUAUUGUCAUUUGCGUUGUGAACGUUGGUCACUGUAUUAGAUUAUAUAUGUGAAUAAGCACAGCCUUUUGAACUGUGCCCACAGGAUGCCCCAAGGAGAGAGUCCCAGCUUUCAGAUGUGUGUGGAAACAUUAUUUCCUACAUUGAGUAUGAGACUUUGGGAGUCGUUUUCCUUGCUUUUCCAGGGAUUUGGUAUGUGACACGAUACAGCAUCUGGUAAAAGUUUAACUGAAACAUUACUUAUUUCUAAAUUCAAAUAAUUUCUCUCCAGUUAAAAUGUAUACCCUAUGCUGCGUGGUUUUCUGGCGCCGGGUAGGUCACAAAUCAUAUUGCCUGCCUCUCAAGAUGAGUAUUAGAGUAAUUCACUGCGCUGUGUACAACAUCACCUAGAAGCCACAACACAGGUGAUAAAUAGUAGUUGGUUAGCAGCGGAGGGACAGAGGGAGGUCCUUCAAAGAAAAAAUGUACUGUAAAGA